rnacentral:rRNA from 1 species
UACGGGGGGAGCAAGCGUUGUUCGGAUUUACUGGGCGUAAAGCGCACGUAGGCGGCUUUGUAAGUUAGAGGUGAAAGCCCGGGGCUCAACUCCGGAACUGCCUUUAAGACUGCAUCGCUUGAAUCCAGGAGAGGUGAGUGGAAUUCCGAGUGUAGAGGUGAAAUUCGUAGAUAUUCGGAAGAACACCAGUGGCGAAGGCGGCUCACUGGACUGGUAUUGACGCUGAGGUGCGAAAGCGUGGGGAGCAAACAGG